UUUUUUUUUUUUUUUUUUUUUUUUUUUUUUUUUUCCAAAUAUUAAUUCGAAACUAAGAGAAAAGUGUGGUGCGGAUAAGUUAUGCGUUGGAAUGUUUUUGCCAUAAAUAAAUAAAGAAAAGAGUGGGGGAUCCUUGUUAUUGUGAUGAUAAAGUGUUUUCCGGUUUGUUUAUGAGUUCAGAGUCGUUGUUUUUUCGAGCGCUCCACUGGGUGUGUGGAACUGGAUGAUGUCACAGUAGUUUUUCUUUUUGAAUAUACAUCAUGUAUUACACUUCUGGAUGUUUCAGGUAUGUUUGUCUGUAUUGGUCUAUUCUUAAGGCAUAGGUUUAUUUUUUCUGAGACUUGUCGAGCUGUACGAUUUCCAAGUUUCUGUGCAAUUGUUACCGCGUCAAAGUGGCCCUCACAUUGAUUUAAUACUGCAAUCAAGUGUUCCUCUUCCUCAGCGGACCAUCGUCCUUUUCGUACUUUCACUGUCUUAGGCGGGAUAAUUGUCUGCAGGAAGAAACUGAAUUUCUUCGUGCGUAGCCGGUCAGAGCAUUGCAGCGGUGUUCUGCUUGCAACGCAUUCUGAUAAAAUCUUGUUAUUUCCCGUUCCAUAUUUACAUAUUGCAUCGAAAAGUCUCUUGUCUUCGUCUUCAUCCCAUCGGCCUCUGGCGAUAGGGCACCAUUCUACUAUGUGUCCAUUCUCGUAUGCCUGUGCUUGUUUUUUACGCAACUUUCUGCGUAGAACUAAAGGAGAGUAGUAUUUUCCCUGGUUAGUCCGUAAUUCUUUUCGUUUUUUCCAUAACAUUUUGCAGACUUUUUCAAGAUCUGUUGGCAAUAUUGACUCAAGAUCUUUUGGAAGAGGUACGACCUCACGAGCAGCACUGCAGCGAAGGAUGUGUUUUCCUGUGUCACUUUCUUCUUUUUUACAAAAGUGGCAGUGUUCUGUCACUAUUGUAGAAGGUCCAAAGUGAUGGAGUCGAAAAAGGAAGCCAUAUCUUGCGUUUUCCUCGUACAGGUAUUUGGCAGGUUUUUCUGAAAUUUUCGACCAAGUUGGACAAUCUGGUAAAAAGAUUCCAAGUCGUUUUGCCUCCGUUUUUAUUUGUACAAGUGUCCAA